rnacentral:rRNA from 1 species
CAGUUCGGAUUGUAGUCUGCAACCCGACUACAUGAAGCUGGAAUCGCUAGUAAUCGCGGAUCAGAAUGCCGCGGUGAAUACGUUCCCGGGUCUUGUACACACCGCCCGUCACACCAUGGGAGUCGGAAAUGCCCGAAGUCUGUGACCCAACCGCGAGGAGGGAGCAGCCGAAGGCAGGUCGGAUGCCUGGGGUGAAGUCGUAACAAGGUACC